UACGUAGGGGGCUAGCGUUGUCCGGAUUUAUUGGGCGUAAAGAGCGUGUAGGCGGCCAGGUAGGUCUGGUGUGAAAACUCGAGGCUUAACCUCGAGAUGUCAUCGGAAACCAUCUGGCUAGAGUCCGGAAGGAGGAGAGUGGAAUUCCUGUGUAGCGGUGAAAUGCGCAGAUAUCAGGAAGAACACCAAUGGCGAAAGCAGCUCUCUGGGACGGUACUGACGCUGAGACGCGAAGCGUGGGGAGCGAACAGG
rnacentral:rRNA from 1 species